CUCCUGUUCUGUAUGAGUUUACAAGGUCAAAAUGGUUCAGCAGAUGUACUUAAACACAAAGGGAGGCUGCCUCAUUUUCAGAAGCAAACUGAUACUGAGCAAGGAAGAAGCAGUUUCUCCAAGGAUUGUGGUGGUGUACAUCUCGGAUCUCCCUGAGGAAUGAAGCCAGUUGAUCUUUCUGCUGAACAAGGUGAUCCACCCAGACCUAGCAGCUGUGACUUGCUGUGAUUCACACGCAGAGGAAUGUGGUGAUAAAUGGGAUUUUUCAAGUCAGAAACAGAUCUGUGGGUUCGGAGGGCUGACCUACAACAUGCACCAUGGCUUUCUUUGCGGUCAAAUUCUGCAGUAACCUGUAAAACUUGUUUGCAGGUUGGAAGUGGCCACCUGACACUGUGGAGCGCUGGCACCGAUGAAAUCUUUCAACAUGGAAGCUCUUCAUCACCAAGGUAAAUAAGGAAGGUACAGUUUCAGCGGCUGAAGUUUGUAGCAUGUCAGAUUUAAAUUAUCUCAGUCCCGUAGUGACUGCUAAUCCCUCACCUUGAGCCUUACUGUACCCGCUGGUUUCUGCUUGCUGUGUUUGAAAAGAACCCAGUGAUAAGAGUCUCCUCUUCCAACAUAUGCUGUUG
rnacentral:lncRNA from 1 species